GAGUGGCGAACGGGUUAGUAACGCGUGGGAACAUACACAGCACAGGGGGAUAACCAUUGGAAACGAUGGCUAAUACCGCAUACGCCCUAUUGGGGAAAGAUUUAUCGGUGUUGGAUUGGCCCGCGUUAGAUUAGCUAGUUGGUGGGGUAAUGGCUCACCAAGGCGACGAUUUAUAGCUGGUUUGAGAGGAUGAUCAGCAACACUGGAACUGAGACACGGUCCAGACUCCUACGGGAGGCAGCAGUCGGGAAUAUUGUGCAAUGGGGGCAACCCUGACACAGCCAUGCCGCGUGAGUGAAGAAGGCCUUAGGGUUGUAAAGCUCUUUCAGAUGUGAGGAUGAUGACGAUAGCAUCAGAAGAAGCUCCGGCUAACUUCGUGCCAGCAGCCGCGGUAAUACGAAGGGAGCUAGCGUUGUUCGGAAUUACUGGGCGUAAAGGGCGUGUAGGCGGAUUAUCAAGUUAGGGGUGAAAUCCCGGGGCUCAACCUCGGCACUGCCUUUAUGACUGAUAAUCUAGAGUAUGUGAGGGGAUAAUGGAAUACCUAGUGUAGAGGUGAAAUUCGU
rnacentral:rRNA from 1 species